rnacentral:rRNA from 1 species
CCUACGGGUGGCAGCAGUGAGGAAUAUUGGUCAAUGGGCGCGAGCCUGAACCAGCCAAGUCGCGUGAGGGAAGACGGUCCUAUGGAUUGUAAACCUCUUUUGUCGGGGAGCAAAAGACGCCACGCGUGGCGUUCCGCGCGUACCCGACGAACAAGCAUCGGCUAACUCCGUGCCAGCAGCCACGGUAAUCCGGAGGAUGCGAGCGUUAUCCGGAUUUAUGGGGUUUAAAGGGUGCGCAGGCGGAAGAUCAAGUCAGCGGUAAAAUUGAGAGGCUCAACCGGUACGAGCCGUUGAAACUGGUGUGCUGGAGUGAGUGAGAAGUAGGCGGAAUGCGUGGUGUAGCGGUGAAAUGCAUAGAUAUCACGCAGAACUCCGAUGGCGAAGGCAGCAUACCGGAGCUCAACUGACGCUCAUGCACGAAAGUGUGGGUAUCGAACAGGAUUAGAUACCCGGGUAGUC